CAAAUUAGAGCUUGGAUAAGUUUUUUAUUUACAUUAAAAAGAUAAUUAUAAAAUUAAUUUAAUUUGA
rnacentral:tRNA from 1 species